rnacentral:rRNA from 1 species
UACGUAGGGUGCGAGCGUUAAUCGGAAUUACUGGGCGUAAAGCGUGCGCAGGCGGUUUUGUAAGCCAGAUGUGAAAUCCCCGGGCUUAACCUGGGAAUGGCAUUUGGGACUGCAAGGCUCGAGUGCGGCAGAGGAGACUGGAAUUCCUGGUGUAGCAGUGAAAUGCGUAGAUAUCAGGAGGAACACCUGAGGUGAAGACGGGUUGCUGGGCCGACACUGACGCUGAUAGCGCGAAAGCCAGGGGAGCAAACGGG